rnacentral:rRNA from 1 species
CCUACGGGAGGCAUCAGUGAGGAAUCUUGGUCAAUGGCCGUAAGGCUGAACCAGCCAAGUAGCGUGAGGGAAGACUGCCCUAUGGGUUGUAACCCUCUUUUAUGCGGGGAUACAGGUGUCCACGUGUGGAUGUUUGCAGGUCCCGCAUGAAUAAGGACUGUCUCAUUCCGUGCCCGCAGCCGCGGUAGUACGGAAGGUUCGGGCGUUAUCCGUAUGUAUUGGGUUUAAAGGGAGCGUAGGACGGUCUUUAAGCGUUCCGUGAAGUUUUGUGGCUCAACCAUGAGAGUGCGGCGCGAACUGGAGACCUUGAGUGCGCGGAAGGCAGGCGGAAUUAGUGGUGUAGCGGUGAAAGGCUUAGA